UACGUAGGGUGCAAGCGUUAAUCGGAAUUACUGGGCGUAAAGCGUGCGCAGGCGGCUUUGCAAGACAGAUGUGAAAUCCCCGGGCUUAACCUGGGAACUGCAUUUGUGACUGCAUGGCUGGAGUGCGGCAGAGGGGGAUGGAAUUCCAGGUGUAGCGGUGAAAUGCGUAGAUAUCUGGAGGAACACCGGUGGCGAAGGCGGCAUUCUGGACCGAUAUUGACGCUGAGGAGCGAAAGCCAGGGGAGCAAACGGGG
rnacentral:rRNA from 1 species